rnacentral:rRNA from 1 species
GACGAACGCUGGCGGCGUGCUUAACACAUGCAAGUCGAACGGAAAGGCCCUGCUUUUGUGGGGUGCUCGAGUGGCGAACGGGUGAGUAACACGUGAGUAACCUGCCCUUGACUUUGGGAUAACUUCAGGAAACUGGGGCUAAUACCGGAUAGGAUCUCCUGCUCCAUUGUGGGGGUUGGAAAGUUUCGGCGGUUGGGGAUGGACUCGCGGCUUAUCAGCUUGUUGGUGGGGUAGUGGCUUACCAAGGGAUUGACGGGUAGCCGGCCUGAGAGGGUGACCGGCCACAUUGGGCCUGAGAUACGGCCCAGACUCCUACGGGAGGCAGCAGUGGGGAAUAUUGCACAAUGGGCCGAAGCCUGAUGCAGCAACGCCGCGUGCGGAAUGACGGCCUUCGGGUUGUAAACCGCUUUCGCCUGUGACGAAGCGUGAGUGACGGUAAUGAGUAAAGAAGCACCGGCUAACUACGUG